GACGGAAGGUGCAAGCGUUGCUCGGAAUCAUUGGGCGUAAAGGGUGCGUAGGCGGCUUGGUGGGUCUGGUGUGAAAGCCCCGGGCUUAGCCCGGGAAGGGCGCUAGAAACUGCCGAGCUCGAGUGCCGGAGGGGAGAGUGGAAUUCCGUGGUGUAGGCGGUGAAAUGCGUAGAGAAUCAGGAGGAAUACCGGUGGCGAAAGCGACUCUCUGGACGGCAACUGACGGCUGAGGCACGGAAAGCGUGGGGAGCAAACAGG
rnacentral:rRNA from 1 species